rnacentral:tRNA from 1 species
CCACUGCUCAGUUGGUAAAGCACAAGGCUCUUAACUUUAUGGUCGUGGGUUUGAGCCCCACGGUGGG